rnacentral:misc_RNA from 1 species
GUAAUGUUCUCCUAAACCAGGAAAUAUGUUAUGUGACAGAAUCUCAAGUAGUACCUCAAUUACUACUGUAAUUUCAAGGAAAAUAACGGAGGAUGACAAGAAAAAUAACCAGCUUUACGAUUUUAAAAUAAACGAAAAACAAUACAAGAAAUAUUUUCUAUGUUUUAUCUGUGAUAACAAAACUAACAAGAUCUGUUCCUUUCAACGUCAGAUGCUCCCUUAACGAUUGAUAGGAGUGUGCAUCCUCUCGACUAUCUUAUUCACUGCAUCACGGGACAUGACUAGUGUAUCAUGUAGCAAAAUACUGUAGACGUUUAGACCAAUUGAAGGCAACACAUUGACAUAGUGUACAUUCUGAGUAGCAAACUUUAGUUUUUCACUGAUUGGACCACCAUCCACCACCAGAAGCUUCUUGGUAUUCUCCAAUUGGUUGAAAUAGUUCACUAUGUUCUUUGUUUUGUGUGUAGGAAUCUCUAAAUCCUCAAAAACCAGAAGCUUU